UUCCUAUGCAUAUACCUUUUU
rnacentral:miRNA from 2 species